CAGACUGUGAGCUGAAUGAUUAACCACCUGCUGCGGCCGCGCCCUAAGGAAACAGCAAAACCCGAGGCGCAGCCCUGCCUGCAGGGGCGUGUUGGGCGGGAGGACGGCAGCCCACAGACCAGGAUGCUGACCACUGCUGACGGCCCCUCUGCCCGGGCACAGCGACGCUGGCUCCAGGAAGUGAGGCCUUGUUGGAAAAUAAAAAAUAGCAAAGAAGCAGAUGCUACGUACAGAACAUCCUUUGCCUGGAAAUACACUGUGAACUAAAAAUAAAAUCCUAAGCCCUCUGCUAACUGAAUGGACCCCUC